rnacentral:lncRNA from 1 species
GCGGCGGCGAGGGGAGAAGGGGUCAUUGUCCGCGCGCUGGCCCGGGCGCCGAGGCGUGUCCCUGCCUGCGCCGCGCGGCUACCCCCGUGCCCGGCGCCGCCGACGGGAAGGCAGCGGCGGGGAGGCCCCCUGGAGGCCUGCUGGGAAAUGGCGGCUGGAGCGGCGGGCGCGUGGGUCCCCUCGGGGAGGCGCCCCAAGCCACGGUCCGCUCCCAAAGAGAAGCCCAGACUGGGCCCACAGUACCCGGGAAGGUUGGCAGCACCAACCACCAAGCAGAGUCACAGGC